rnacentral:rRNA from 1 species
CCUACGGGAGGCAGCAGUGGGGAAUUUUGGACAAUGGGCGCAAGCCUGAUCCAGCCAUGCCGCGUGCAGGAUGAAGGCCUUCGGGUUGUAAACUGCUUUUGUACGGAACGAAAAGACUCUGGUUAAUACCUGGGGUUCAUGACGGUACCGUAAGAAUAAGCACCGGCUAACUACGUGCCAGCAGCCGCGGUAAUACGUAGGGUGCGAGCGUUAAUCGGAAUUACUGGGCGUAAAGCGUGCGCAGGCGGUUAUAUAAGACAGAUGUGAAAUCCCCGGGACUCAACCUGGGAACUGCAUUUGUGACUGUAUAGCUAGAGUACGGUAGAGGGGGAUGGAAUUCCGCGUGUAGCAGUGAAAUGCGUAGAUAUGCGGAGGAACACCGAUGGCGAAGGCAAUCCCCUGGACCUGUACUGACGCUCAUGCACGAAAGCGUGGGGAGCAAACAGGAUUAGAUACCCUGGUAGUCCACGCCCUAAACGAUGUCAACUGGUUGUUGGGUCUUCGACUGACUCAGUAACGAAGCUAACGCGUGAAGUUGACCGCCUGGGGAGUACGGCCGCAAGGUUGAAACUCGAAAUGAAUUGACGG